rnacentral:rRNA from 1 species
AGUGAACGCUGGCGGUAGGCCUAACACAUGCAAGUCGAACGGCAGCACAGUAAGAGCUUGCUCUUACGGGUGGCGAGUGGCGGACGGGUGAGGAAUACAUCAGAAUCUACUUUUUCGUGGGGGAUAACGUAGGGAAACUUACGCUAAUACCGCAUACGACCUACGGGUGAAAGCAGGGGAUCUUCGGACCUUGCGCGAUUGAAUGAGCCGAUGUCGGAUUAGCUAGUUGGCGGGGUAAAGGCCCACCGAGGCGACGAUCCGUAGCUGGUCUGAGAGGAUGAUCAGCCACACUGGAACUGAGACACGGUCCAGACUCCUACGGGAGGCAGCAGUGGGGAAUAUUGGACAAUGGGCGCAAGCCUGAUCCAGCCAUACCGCGUGGGUGAAGAAGGCCUUCGGGUUGUAAAGCCCUUUUGUUGGGAAAGAAAAGCAGCAGGUUAAUACCCCGCUGUUCUGACGGUACCCAAAGAAUAAGCACCGGCUAACUUCGUG